rnacentral:rRNA from 1 species
GGCAACAGCUCAAAUUUGAAAUCUGGCCCCAGGCCCGAGUUGUAAUUUGCAGAGGAUGCUUUUGGUGCGGUGCCUUCCAAGUUCCCUAGAACGGGACGCCAGAGAGGGUGAGAGCCCCGUACAGUUGGACACCAAGCCUUUGUAAAGCUCCUUCGACGAGUCGAGUAGUUUGGGAAUGCUGCUCAAAAUGGGAGGUAUAUUUCUUCUAAAGCUAAAUACCGGCCAGAGACCGAUAGCGCACAAGUAGAGUGAUCGAAAGAUGAAAAGCACUUUGAAAAGAGGGUUAAACAGCACGUGAAAUUGUUAAAAGGGAAGCGCUUGUGACCAGACUUGCGUCCGGUGAAUCACCCAGCCCUCGCGGCUGGGGCACUUCGCCGGCUCAGGCCAGCAUCAGCUCGCUGUCGGGGACAAAAGCUUCAGGAACGUAGCUCUCUUCGGGGAGUGUUAUAGCCUGUUGCACAAUACCCUUCGGCGGGCUGAGGUACGCGCUCCGCAAGGAUGCUGGCAUAAUGGUCAUCAGCGAAAUCGUCGACC